rnacentral:RNase_P_RNA from 1 species
UCAGACGAUCAGGACGCAGCGGUCAGCAAUGGCCGAGGAAAGUCCGGACAUCAUGUGGCAGCAUAGCGGCCAACGGCCGCGCGGGGCGACCCGACGAUCAGAGCAACAGAGACGAAUCACGGCAAGCGGUGGGUGAAACGGGCAAUCUCUAUGCGAUGCAACCUCAAAUAGGUUUCCGUUAACCGUGCCACCGGUUGGAAACGGGUAGGGGGCUUGACCCGGCAGAGUAAUCUGCCGCGGCAGAUUAAUUGCGUCCGCCGUGGAAACGCGGAACAGAAUCCGGCUUACGAAAGUCUGAAAAA